rnacentral:rRNA from 1 species
UACGUAGGGUGCGAGCGUUGUCCGGAAUUAUUGGCGUAAAGAGCUCGUAGGCGGUGUGUCGCGUCGGCCGUGAAAACCUGGGCUCAACUCUGGGCGUGCGGUCGAUACGGCAUCACUUGAGUUCGGCAGGGAGACUGGAAUUCCUGGUGUAGCGGUGAAAUGCGCAGAUAUCAGGAGGAACACCGGUGGCGAGCGUCUCUGGAAUGUCCUGACGCUGAGGAGCGAAGUGUGGGAGCGAACAGG